GGAAAUUUACUCGGCGUCGCGUGCGUUCUCCUAAAAGAAAAUCUCACGUUCCACGUCAGCCGUCGUAAAGAUCUUUCAAGUAUCCCAGUUAAGAAUCUCACCCAAGAGAAAAGGAAGCGUAAGAACAACAGUAAGAUGUGUAAAAAUAUGCAUCAGUCAAUUGGUGCAACUGUUCGUCCCAGGAAUAUGAUGACAAUCGAGACGUCGGGAAAAUAUUUUGCUAGGAGCCGAACGCGAGCAGAGCCGAGCCGAGCCGAGUCGAGACGAGUCGAGCCGAAGCCGAACAGAAGUUUCAUGGCGGAUCGAACGGUAGCAACAAGUGGGCGACGCCAGCCGCCGGUUUUACGAGUUGCUUUUGUCAGCGACCGGGACGGCUUGUUCAACGAAGAAAAUCCACCAGACCUAUACCGAUACUUGGGGAUAAUUCUCAAAGCUUAUUAUACCAAAUAUCAAGGUCUUGCCUUUGUACGGUCUUUUACCUAUAUUGUAUUUACCUUACGAAGAAUAUUUUACGAAAAAUCUACCUCUCGCGAUUGGGACACCGUGACAUUUUGGUUUGUCACAGAUUUAUACUUAAAAAAAAAAAAUAAUGUCAAAUUUAACAUAUUUUAAAAUGUUCCGAAUUCAGCUACAUUUUUCAUUCUAUUAUAUUUUACGUUAUACGUAAUGCGUCGAUACGUCCGAUACCGUUAAGACAUUUUACCGGGUUAUCCAUAUUGGUACAGUUGGGACAAAUAAUGGUCGAAUACCCCUCCGGCGCUCCUUCGGAUCAGCUCCCCCCCCCUCCCCGCUGCUUCGAUCAGGCACUUGGAUAAUGGCACUGAUGAAUCAAAUAAUAUCAUAUUCAUUGGUAUUUACUGAAUGAAUCUGAAGGGAGCGCCGGAGGAGACUUCAAACAUUAUUUUCCGCAACUGUACUUUGCGGCGCUGUGAGAUUCAUAUGCGAAAAAGCAUUGUAAUAUAUAUGUAUAAUAUUGUAAAAUGGCAAAAGUAUCAGUGUGGUUGAUAAUUGCAUAAUUUUUUUUCUCUCGAAACCUCGUCAAUUUUAUUAUGCUGCGAGUACUUACAAUUUAUAGGCAACAGUUCGUCUUCGGUUAUCUUCGGUCGAGCUAGCAUGUCGUCUGUAUGUGAUAACAGUCGAAGAUCAACCUAGGUUAUUAACACCAGUUGCGCGUGAUACAUACAGCUGACUCGUAAAGCUAUGUUCGGGUAUUCAUGAUUUCCCUAGAUUUAUAGGGAAUUAUAAUUCUAAGCAGGUCAAUUUUAUUAUACUCUUUGUCAACAUUUAUUUGGUAUACUUUGUAUCAUCGUCACUGGACAAUUUAUUUGUAGCAGACGAAAUAUUAUAGUAAAAAGAUUAUAUUUUAAGGAUUUUUAAUAUGAAAAAAUAUCAAUAUGACAAAAUGUCCCGAGGUUUUUCAUAAUCAUUUUUAUUGGUAAUUUUGCAAAAAAUUUUUUGCAUCGAAUUCUCUGGGUACACGUAUUGGUCUAUGUGCCAUGUGUGGAAGAACCGAUAACACGUUUUUCUUGCAUUUUGUUUGUGUUAUCACGGAUAAACAGAUUUUAUGACCCCGAAGAGAUUGGUGUUUCGAGUUUUUCGUUCCCUCGCCAUUAUCAAUUUCCUGAAGAUAAACGAAUGACAGAGAGAAAAUAAAAUUGACGACAAAUAACUAUUGGUACCACGUGUCAAUUUUUAAUUUGGUUCAACCAGUAAGAAGACGCAUUUCAUUGGUUCUUUGAGUAACGUAUUAACUUCAUUUGAAGUUAAAAAUUUUCUUCGAGCAACGAGAAGUAUUUUUGUUAACUUGUCUCUUUGGAAUCGUCGAAAAUAUUUACGUCUUAUUGAUCAAUGAAAUAUUUAUUAAUAAUCUCAAAUAAAUAAUACCAUCCUGUGUACUUUAUACCAGCAAUGUAAUCUCAUCCGAACUGAUAAUAUAUUUUUAUAUUUAUAUUUUCCUCGUAGAAAUAACUUCGUGAAAUUUUAUGCGGCUGGCGUAUUAUAAUUUAUGUGAACGACCGUUUGAUUAUACAGGCGUUUAUGAUGCGUCCUGAUGGAUAAUAAAAACGAGAAAAAAAACCAA